rnacentral:rRNA from 1 species
AGAGCGAACGCUGGCGGCAGGCCUAAUACAUGCAAGUCGAGCGGUCCCUUCGGGGGCAGCGGCGGACGGGUGAGUAACGCGUGGGAACGUGCCCUUUGGUACGGAACAACUGAGGGAAACUUCAGCUAAUACCGUAUGUGCCCUUCGGGGGAAAGAUUUAUCGCCAUUGGAGCGGCCCGCGUUGGAUUAGGUAGUUGGUGAGGUAAAGGCUCACCAAGCCUACGAUCCAUAGCUGGUCUGAGAGGAUGAUCAGCCACACUGGGACUGAGACACGGCCCAGACUCCUACGGGAGGCAGCAGUAGGGAAUCUUGCGCAAUGGGCAAAGCCUGACGCAGCCAUCGCCGCGUGAAUGAUGAAGUCUAGGAUUGUAAAAUUCUUCACGGGAGAUAAUGACGGUACCGAGAACGAAGCCCGCUAACUCGUGCC